UAAUGAUGUGAGCUCUGUCAGUAUCUGUGUGGAUUGCAGUGCGUACAGUAUUAUAAUAAUAUACAUUAUCAGCUUUAAGUAAAUCAAUACCAUAGCCUUAGCCAUCGCUCUAAAUAAAUCGUCGGCAUUCACCUCUCACAAAAAUUUAACUAGAGGAAGGGAACAAGGUUUACCGCGUGUUGGCUGGAGUCAAGAUAAGUUCUAUUUCUUGGCAGCGGCCUUUAUGUAUGCGAGUCCCAUAUAAACAGGUGCCAGCUGUUAUGGAUAAGGAAGAGACCUCGUCUAAGACACUCAACUUCCGUGGAGUGAAGAAGACGAUGGGGAAGACUAACAGUAGUAACAAUGCCCAGUACCACACCACAAAGUUGGAGGCUCACCUCCGGAAGCAGUGGGUCCGCCUGGUCACCGCUUUUCUUUAUAUCUUGUCCGUUUCCAUCACGGCUGUGGUCCUAGCUGUCUAUUAUGGGGUCUACUGGACACCCGACAUCACCUAUAUGGAGCGUAAUACCCAGGACAACAUUGACAACGACAAAUGACUUUCUUCAGCGAGACUUUUCUUGCCUACCGAGGUGCCUGUUCACACUCCAUCUCUCCGAUCUCUGGGGUUUUCCUGGCCUGUAGAGAUAUAUAGGAAGUCUAAACUAUGUCCAGACGACCAAAAUAUUACCUAUGUUUCUGGGGACAAUUCCAUUUAAUGACAAUGUGAGAGAAACAGGCGAGGAGAAGUCCUGGAAUAUGAUCUUGUAAGCCAUCCAUAACAUUUUUUUUUUUUUUUUUACAGAUUGAUAAAUAUUUGUAUAUAUAUUAUUGAUAUUUACAAUAGUCAUAUUAAAUACGUCGUUUACGGUUUAUAUUGUACAUUGUAAUCAUACAUAUUAGAGAUCCAGAAAAUAGGUGUGAAUGUGUAUUGAAAUGUUAAACACCAAGCAUAUAGAAUGUCUAUAAUGUAAAGUGUGACAUUUCUGAGGAAUAUGUACAAUUCAAAUGACUAAAGACUGUGAUAUAGCAUACUUUUUUUCUGUUUGUAAUUACUUUAAAUAUUUAACAAAUGAUAAUUUCUAUGAGCAAGAUUGUUCAUUGGGACAAAAAUUUAAUUAGAACCCUUCCUGGUUGAUCACCAGGAGAAAGUACAUUCCUUUAUUAAGGCUUAAUCCUAUGUUGUCCUCAAUGAAUGUCUAUCAUUACUGUAAAAUUAAUUACAUAUAUCUUAUGUAAGAUGAGUGAUUAGUAUUGUGAAAAAAUUUGGUUGUCAUCAAAUUUGACUAAUAAUACACAGAACAAUGUGUGCAAUUAAAAUCAAAAUAUUUAGCUAUAGGCAGAUGACAACCAAAUAUGUUCACAAUACAUUACAGAAUCAACAUCAGUUUUUGAUAAUGGUUUUUCGGUAUCAACAACAGUAGGUACAGAAUGUACACUACACCUUUAAUAUGAAAUUCUUCCUUCCACAAUGUACAUCUGGAGACUGCAAAAAUAUUCUUGUUUGAAAUCAAUUGGGAAGAAGGUUACACAAAAAAUAACAAAAGAAACAUAUUUGUAAAAGGGUUUUAUUAUAAAUUAUAUAAGUAAUGUACCAAUAUGUUCCAGAUAGUGUAGGAUAUAUGGUUUGCAUAUUAUUAUUUUUUUUACUUUUUUAGUAAUGUCAGUAAACAAUAUAAAAGAAGUCUACAGUAUGUGACUUCUGUCUGGGAAUGUUUGUUCCCUGUUACAAAAGUAUGACCUUUAACACCAUGCAAUGAUAACGAUGACAAUGAUUUCAUGAUAUAUGCUUAUUUUCUCUCUAAGAUUUUUUUUUUCAAUAUUUGUUUUGUAUCCGUUCUUAAUAAACAAUUAUCCUACA